rnacentral:lncRNA from 1 species
GCACUCUGUAAAAUGGACCAAUCAGCGCUCUGUAAAAUGGACCAAUCAGCAGGAUGUGGGUGGGGCCAAAUAGGGGAAUAAAAGCUGGCCACCUGGCAACAGCAGCGGCAAUCAGCUUGGGUCCCCUUCCACGCUGUGGGAGCUUUGUUCCUUCGCUCUUCACAAUAAAUCUUGCUGCUGCUCACUCUUUAGGUCCGCAUUACCUUUAUGAGCUGUAAUACUCACUGCAAAGGUCUGUGGCUUCACUCCUAAAGUCAGCAAGACCACGAACCCACCAGGAGGAACAAACAACUCCAGACGCACCAUCUUUAAAAGCUGUAACACUCACUGCGAAGGUCUGCGGCUUCACUCCUGAAGUCAAGCGAGACCACGAACCCACCUGAAGGAAGAAACGCCAGACACAUCUGAACAUCUGAAGGAAAAAACUCCGGACACACCAUCUUUAAGAACUGUAACACUCACCGUGAGUGUCUGCGGCUUCAUUCUUGAAGUUAGACCAAGAACCCACUGGAAGGAACAAAUUUCGGACACACCACCACAUUUGACUAAUUUUUGUAUUUUUAGUAGAGUUGGGGUUUCACCAUGUUGGCCAGGCUGGACUUGAACUCCUGGCCUCAAGUGAUCCACCCACAUCAGUCUCCCAAACAACUGGGAUUACAGGUGUGAGCCACCACACUUACCCACAGAGUGGGUGCUUUUUGAUGGACAUUGAUGUGUGAUAUAAAGAUCAUCCUCUUCGUACCCA